rnacentral:rRNA from 1 species
UACGUAUGGUGCAAGCGUUAUCCGGAUUUACUGGGUGCAAAGGGAGCGUAGGCGGCGCGUUAAGUCUGAUGUGAAAACCCGAGGCUCAACCACGGGAGUGCAUUGGAAACUGGCGGGCUGGAGUGCCGGAGAGGUAAGCGGAAUUCCUAGUGUAGCGGUGAAAUGCGUAGAUAUUAGGAGGAACACCAGUGGCGAAGGCGGCUUACUGGACGGCAACUGACGCUGAGGCUCGAAAGCGUGGGGAGCAAACAGG